rnacentral:rRNA from 1 species
AGUGAACGCUGGCGGUAGGCCUAACACAUGCAAGUCGAACGGCAGCACAGUAAGAGCUUGCUCUUACGGGUGGCGAGUGGCGGACGGGUGAGGAAUACAUCGGAAUCUACUUUUUCGUGGGGGAUAACGUAGGGAAACUUACGCUGAUACCGCAUACGACCUACGGGUGAAAGCAGGGGAUCUUCGGACCUUGCGCGAUUGAAUGAGCCGAUGUCGGAUUAGCUAGUUGGCGGGGUAAAGGCCCACCAAGGCGACGAUCCGUAGCUGGUCUGAGAGGAUGUUCAGCCACACUGGAACUGAGACACGGUCCAGACUCCUACGGGAGGCAGCAGUGGGGAAUAUUGGACAAUGGGCGCAAGCCUGAUCCAGCCAUACCGCGUGGGUGAAGAAGGCCUUCGGGUUGUAAAGCCCUUUUGUUGGGAAAGAAAAGCAGCAGGUUAAUACCCCGCUGUUCUGACGGUACCCAAAGAAUAAGCACCGGCUAACUUCGU